rnacentral:rRNA from 1 species
UACGUAGGGUGCAAGCGUUAAUCGGAAUUACUGGGCGUAAAGCGUGCGCAGGCGGUUUUGUAAGUCUGUCGUGAAAUCCCCGGGCUUAACCUGGGAAUUGCGAUGGAGACUGCAAGGCUGGAGUCUGGCAGAGGGGGGUAGAAUUCCACGUGUAGCAGUGAAAUGCGUAGAGAUGUGGAGGAACACCGAUGGCGAAGGCAGCCCCCUGGGUCAAAACUGACGCUCAUGCACGAAAGCGUGGGGAGCAAACAGG